GCUUAUAGUGUGGGGAGCCUGCGAUUGGGGUGGGGCGCCUGCGAUUAGGUUGGGAAGCCUGCGAUUAGGCUGGGGCCCCUGCGAUUAGGUUGGGAAGCCUGCGAUUAGGGUGGCACUUUCGAGCGCUCUGGCGUGAAUUUCACGUUCUUUUACCUCAUAUUGUAUCAUCCCAACAACCCUGUGAUCGAGGGUGCGGCCUGGAGGACCUGACUAUCACAUAUAUUUUUGACACGAGGUAAGCUCCUGAAGAAAGCGUCUAGCUCCAACUGUGCUUCCUCCCUCCAGUACCCUCUGAACUCCUCCAAGCAGACGUUGUUUCCUGCAGACAUCGCUGGAACCAUUCUGGUUAACAUAGAGUGGGAACUCAGUACAUAUUUGUGAAGUGAACUCCUGGAAGAGCUCUUGUGAGGGAGGCACCGAAUUAUCAGGCAGCUCAAGAGAUAGAUUCACUCUCCUGAAAUUAGAGAUGGGAUGCCCUUAAUACAAUUCAUUCCACCCAUUAAGUCUUCAAUAAAUGUUCAGCAUAUCCAGUUAAGAGAA